GCUGGGCAUGGUGGCGCAUGCCUGUAAUCCCAGCUACUCAGGAGGCUGAGGCGGGAGAAUUGCUUGAACCCAGGAGGCGGAGGUUGCAGUGAGCCGAGAUCGUGCCAUUGCACUCCUGCCUGGGUAACAAGAGCAAAACUCCGUCUCAA
rnacentral:SRP_RNA from 1 species